UCUUGUUUCAGCAGCAUAUACUAAAAAUUGGCACAAUGCAGACAAGAUUAUCAUGGCCCCUAAGCAUGGAUAGCAUGCAAAUUCAUGAAGUAUUCCACAUUUUU